UUGCUUUGGCAGCACAUAUAUUAAAAUUGGAACGAUACAGAGAAGAUUAACAUGCCCUCUGCACAAGAAUGACACACAAAUUAGUGAAGCAUUCCAUACUUAA